rnacentral:rRNA from 1 species
CAGCAGCCGCGGUAAUACAGAGGGUGCGAGCGUUAAUCGGAUUUACUGGGCGUAAAGCGUGCGUAGGCGGCUUCUUAAGUCGGAUGUGAAAUCCCUGAGCUUAACUUAGGAAUUGCAUUUGAUACUGGGAAGCUAGAGUAUGGGAGAGGAUGGUAGAAUUCCAGGUGUAGCGGUGAAAUGCGUAGAGAUCUGGAGGAAUACCGAUGGCGAAGGCAGCCAUCUGGCCUAAUACUGACGCUGAGGUACGAAAGCAUGGGGAGCAAACAGGAUUAGAUACCCCCGUAGUCCCUGUCUCUUAUAU